rnacentral:rRNA from 1 species
GAUGAACGCUAGCUACAGGCUUAACACAUGCAAGUCGCGGGGCAGCAUUUCUUUAGCUUGCUAAGGAAGAUGGCGACCGGCGCACGGGUGAGUAACGCGUAUCCAACCUGCCCUUGUCCACGGGAUAACCCGGUGAAAACCGGCCUAAUACCGUAUGAGGUCACAAGCGGACAUCCAACUGUGACGAAAGGUUUAGCGGACAAGGAUGGGGAUGCGUCCGAUUAGCUUGACGGCGGGGUAACGGCCCACCGUGGCUACGAUCGGUAGGGGUUCUGAGAGGAAGGUCCCCCACAUUGGAACUGAGACACGGUCCAAACUCCUACGGGAGGCAGCAGUGAGGAAUAUUGGUCAAUGGACGGGAGUCUGAACCAGCCAAGUAGCGUGCAGGAUGACGGCCCUAUGGGUUGUAAACUGCUUUUGUGCGGGGAUAAAGUGUGGGACGUGUCCCAUAUUGCAGGUACCGCAUGAAUAAGGACCGGCUAAUUCCGUG